rnacentral:rRNA from 1 species
ACUACGGGAGGCAGCAGUGAGGAAUAUUGGUCAAUGGCCGAGAGGCUGACCCAGCCAAGUCGCGUGAGGGAAGACGGCCCUACGGGUUGUAAACCUCUUUUGUCGGGGAGCAAAGCGAGUCACGUGUGACUCAUUUAGAGUAACCGGAGAAAAAGCAUCGGCUAACUCCGUGCCAGCAGCCUCGAUAAUACGGGGGAUGCGCGCGUUAUCCGGUUUUAUUGGGUUGAAAGGGGGCGCAGGCGGAGGUGCAAGUCAGCGGUCAACUUGCGGGGCUCAACCCCGUACUGCCGUGGAAACUGCAUCCCGAUGGUGCGCGAGAAGUAUGCGGAAUGCGUGGUGUAGCGGUGAAAUGCAUAGAUAUCACGCAGAACUCCGAUUGCGAAGGCAGCAUACCGGCGCGCAACUGACGCUCAUGCACGAAAGCGUGGGUAUCGAACAGGAUUAGAUACCCCGGUAGUC